rnacentral:tRNA from 1 species
GCCAGCAUGGUGUAGUGGUUUGAGUGAUGGACUACAACUCUGGAGACCAGGGUUCGAAUCCCAGCUUGGUCA